CUUCACCUCGGAUCCACCUGCAGGAGCUGCUGUAUUCGAGCUGCGGGGACACGCUGAGGCUGUAGCACAACACCAACACACACGCGGGAGGAGAUCUUUGGACUCCUGGACAAAAAGGAAGAAACCAGACAUCACUGUGGGAGUGCACAGAUGAUCAUUCCAGAGGCCGUAACUGAUUUUUUUUCCCCAUUUCCAACUCUGGGCUCCAGAAAGUGUUGCAACAGUUCAGAAUAUUGGAACUCAAACAGGAGAUAAGAGUGUGACUACUCAACAACACCGAUGAAGGGACUUUCAGAUUUAUUUGGACCGUAAUGAAGACGCGACGAGCCCCGGGCUGUAACCGACGGCGACAGGGUGACACUGAUGAAUGGCUGAAGUUCUCUCUGUCAGCCAAGGACAAAUCGACUGGGCCGACUCAAUGCUUCAAGCCUGGCAGCUUCCAGUCAUGUUGUCAAUCAAUGAAUCCAUACGAAGCUCGUCUCACGUGAGUCUGACAAAGUAUGGCACAGCACUUUGUGAAGAGCAAGGGGAGGCAUGGAUGCAUCAUACAUAACACUGUGGCAGCGACAUGAUGGCAAAUUUGACCAACUUUCCUGCAGAUGCAGGCAACAAGAAUACAGGGGAUCCAGAAAUUAAAAAUUCUAAACCAUCUAGCUAAUGAAGUAUUUUUAUCCAGGGAGAUAUAUUCUGUCACUCUGAGUGGAGGAAAAAAAAAACAUAAAAUAAAUGCCAUUCAAAAAUGUAGUACUUCUCUUUAAAGCAACACUAAGGAACUUUCAGUUUUUGUUGAUUUUGGCGGCGCCCGUGGACAAAAGCGGUAGUGUUUUGCCUGAAGGAAUACUACAGUUCCCAUGAGGACUAGCGCGUGACG